AGGAAUUCCUAUUUAUCUUUAUCACUCGAUGUAGGGGAGUGAGUUAAGGGACAACAGAUUUUUUAUGCCCCACGUAGUGACGCAAGUUAUCCAACCCAUAAAUAUAGCACUCUACCAAAAGCUAAACAAAUUUCUAACUCCAAUCUCAGCAGCGUUGCCUUUGCCCUUGUUUUUGACGCCAACACUUAGCCACCCGAUAUAUAACCAAACUUAAAGUAAACACAACUUCCACUUGGAGACCAAGCCAUGGUCAACUUAUUGCGCUUCAGUCAAACUGCGUCAGUCAGCAAAUUUGAAUUUCACAAUGCUGGGAAAUAAUUUCAGUGUAAAGCUUUUAUCCUAAACAUAUUAAAAAGCUUAAGAGAAUCCUAAAGAAAAGCUUCUGGCCGAGGUUGAGUGGAUUAGGAUUAAGAUUUAGAAGAUCAGUCUGAGUCGGGACGAGAUCGUGAACAGCUUCAAAUCAAAGAUAAGCUAGUAAUAAAGUGUCUUGUAAUAGUAUAAGUGAGGAAGUCUGUCGCCGAAUAAAUAUUAAUUAAU
ensembl:ncRNA lncRNA:CR44809 long non-coding RNA:CR44809